CCUACGGGAGGCAGCAGUGGGGAAUAUUGGGCAAUGGACGCAAGUCUGACCCAGCAACGCCGCGUGAAGGAAGAAGGCUUUCGGGUUGUAAACCUCUUUUAAGGGGGAAGAGCAGAAGACGGUACCCCUUGAAUAAGCCACGGCUAACUACGUGCCAGCAGCCGCGGUAAUACGUAGGUGGCAAGCGUUGUCCGGAUUUACUGGGUGGAAAGGGCGUGCAGCCGGAGAGACAAGUCAGAUGUGAAAUCCACGGGCUCAACCCGUGAACUGCAUUUGAAACUGUUUCUCUUGAGUGUCGGAGAGGGAAUCGGAAUUCCUUGUGUAGCGGUGAAAUGCGUAGAUAUAAGGAAGAACACCGGUGGCGAAGGCGGAUUACUGGACGAUAACUGACGGUGAGGCGCGAAAGCGUGGGGAGCAAACAGGAUUAGAUACCCUAGUAGUC
rnacentral:rRNA from 1 species